UACGGAGGGGGCAAGCGUUGUUCGGAUUUACUGGGCGUAAAGGGCGCGUAGGCGGCUUUGUAAGUUACUUGUGAAAUCUCUGAGCUUAACUCAGAACUGCCAAGUGAUACUGGAGAGCUAGAGUGUAGAAGGGGCAACUGGAAUUCUUGGUGUAGCGGUGAAAUGCGUAGAUAUCAGGAGGAACACCUGUGGCGAAGGCGGGUUUCUGGGCUAUCACUGACGCUGAGGCGCGAAAGCGUGGGGAGCGAACAGG
rnacentral:rRNA from 1 species